rnacentral:rRNA from 1 species
AUGACUUCAGAACCAGAGACACCGCGAAUAACCGAGCUCCAUGUAAGGAUGGACUGCAACGGGUGCGUGCACAAGAUCAGGAAGACCCUGAGCGGCAUUGACGGUGUAGGUGAGGUACAUGUUGAUCAACCUAACCACAAGAUCACGGUGGUGGGGAUCGCUGAUCCUGCGAAGAUCGUCAAGGCCAUCAGGAAGACCAAUAGGGUUCCCACCAUCUGCUCACACACCGACCCUGCAGCUCCGGCGCCACCCGCGGAAGGGGGAGAAGCCCCGGCUGCAGCUCCGGCGCCAUCCGCGGGAGGGGGAGAAGCCCCGCCUGCAGCUCCGGCGCCACCCGCGGAAGGGGAAGCCCCGGCUGCUGAUGCGCCUCCGCCUCCGCCUCCGCCUCCGCCUGCAGAAGAGGCACCAGCAGAACCCACCGCGGCAGAGAACAAAGAGGCGCCGCCGGCUGAAACGCCAGCCACCGCCAUGAUAUACAUGGUGCAUGACUGCCCAUACAGCCACCAUGCGUACAAAGGUCACUGGGCAGUCCAUCCGAGCAACAUCCAUGGCGUCAGAUAUGAAUAUGAUGCUGCCGCACCAUAUUACGCAGCACAUAGUCGUAGCUAUAGUCCUUGCACAUCAGAGUACGGACAUGGGGGCUCUUCUGCCCAAGAAGGAAGAUGCUACUACCAUCCAGCGGCUGCUAGGGGAAGAGGAGAUGGGAGCCAGAUCACUUCGAUGUUCAGCGAGGAGAAUCCCAACGCAUGCAGCAUAGCAUAA